rnacentral:rRNA from 1 species
UACGUAGGGCGCGAGCGUUGUCCGGAAUUAUUGGGCGUAAAGAGCUCGUAGGCGGCUUGUCACGUCGGUUGUGAAAGCCCGGGGCUUAACCCCCGGGUCUGCAGUCGAUACGGGCAGGCUAGAGUUCGGUAGGGGGAGAUCGGAAUUCCUGGUGUAGCGGUGAAAUGCGCAGAUAUCAGGAGGAACACCGGUGGCGAAGGCGGAUCUCUGGGCCGAUACUGACGUGAGGAGCGAAAAGCGUGGGGGAGCGAACAGG